rnacentral:lncRNA from 1 species
UAUUGGAUAAGCUUUGAACUUUUGAUGGCUUAGCGAGCAAGUAUGAGUGUAGAGAUUGAACAAAACAAUUUCUCUCUCUCCCUCCCGAAUUUUCGUCCCCCACCCUCUCUCUCUACUCUCUCUCUCUACUCUCUCUCUUUUCUCUUCAAUUCACCAUGAAAGAACACUCUAAAGCUUCUAAACACCUAGAUCCACCAUCACAAAUCAAAGAACUAGCUCUAAAUUUAACCUUCUAAAUCUAAGAUCAAGAGCAAGAUAUUUGAGCAUCAAGAGCAAGAGCCAAGGUCACCUUCAAACUUCAUUCAAAUCUUUGAGUAAGUGAUAGAUUUACUUAGAUCUAUUUAUAUUUGAGAUGUAUAUGUGGAUUAAUGAAGGAAACAAGCAAGAAAACACCUACUUUUCCAUUUCCCAAAUUUUCGAAAAAGGGUGUUUUACCCUUCAAAUAUUUUUCAUCUUCUUUUCUUAAAUUGAGGUGAUUUAUAUGUAAUUCAGAACCUAUUAAGUUGAUAUUGAUGAGUUUUUAAAAGGUUUAGAAAGGAGUUUGAAUUUUCAAUGAGUUUAGUUUGUCUAAAAUUGGGAAGUUUUAAUCUUUUGGUUUAAUUGAUGAAUUGGUGCUUGAUAUAUGCCAUUGAUAAUGCCAUUGAUAGCGCUAAUAUGACGAAUCAUGGAUUAGAUUGAUGUUUUGAUUUGAUUUAUGAAAAUCCCCAUGAGUUAGUUUGAUGUAAAUUGGGUAAAAUUGAUUCCUUGCUUUGAAUUGCUAGUUGGUGAGUUAUAUAUGCAUUUAAGUGUAUCAAUUUGAUAGAUUUAAGGUUUGAUUGAUGAAUUAUACAUGCUUAAAGAUUUUCAAAAAAGUUUAGUUUAUCAAAAUUUGGGACUUUUUGAUUCACUUGUUAGAUUUCAAAAUUGAUUGAAAUUAUUUGACUAUGAGCAUGAUAGGAAUGCUGAUUGAGGACUAAUUUGGGUAAUUGAGAUACAUGUGGAAAAUUGAUUGAGUUUAGUUUACUACAAAUUGGGUAUUUUUGAUUAAUAAGAUGGAUGCUUGGAUUAAUGGUUUCUAUGAGCUAGUUAGUAUACUAGAGGGGUGAAAGCAUGCUUGAAUUGAUUAAAAAUGUUGAGUUGUGAAAACUGCCCGAGUUUAGUUUGCAUGUAUGAAAGGAAUCUUCUAUGUGGGAUGAGUUAUGAGUUAUAUGAUCAUGUAUUUGUGCUAUUGUGUAUUAUAUGAGUUUAAUGUGAAUUUUUGAGAAUUUUUAGAUGAAGAAACCAAGAGGUUAGUUUGUUUAAAGUGAUAUAAAUAGGAAUUACUUUCUUUUGUGAAUUAUUUUUGGGAAAUUGAUUUAAGAAUGUUCGAUUAUAUGUUUGUGGCUUUCUAAAUCAAAUUUUUUAGAAUUUUCCCCAACUAAAAAUAUUUAUUCUCAAUUUUAUAAAAAGUUUUGAAUAUGUUUGCUAAGAUGCUAUCAAACUUGUUUAGUUAUUUUGUGUUCUUAUCUAUGUGUUUAUUUCUUGAGAAGUCUAGUCCUAAAUUAGGUGAUGAGUCGGGAAUAGAAAUGGUGAUUACAUAGGAAGUUUGAUUGGUCAGAAAUCGAGAUAGUUGGAGUGAAGUGAUUAGACUUGAUAGACUAGUACUAAGAUAUGAGUAGUGCUAUCAGUAAGAAGGUUACUGAUUGAUUGAUGUUUUGUUAUAUGAACUACCUACAUCGUGUACGCUACCUGAAGGCACGAGCGACGGAAGAAAGUGAGGU